GACGAACGCUGGCGGCGUGCUUAACACAUGCAAGUCGAACGAAGAGCGAUGGAAGCUUGCUUCUAUCAAUCUUAGUGGCGAACGGGUGAGUAACGCGUAAUCAACCUGCCCUUCAGAGGGGGACAACAGUUGGAAACGACUGCUAAUACCGCAUACGAUCUAAUCUCGGCAUCGAGGAUAGAUGAAAGGUGGCCUCUACAUGUAAGCUAUCACUGAAGGAGGGGAUUGCGUCUGAUUAGCUAGUUGGAGGGGUAACGGCCCACCAAGGCGAUGAUCAGUAGCCGGUCUGAGAGGAUGAACAGCCACAUUGGGACUGAGACACGGCCCAGACUCCUACGGGAGGCAGCAGUGGGGAAUCUUCCGCAAUGGACGAAAGUCUGACGGAGCAACGCCGCGUGAGUGAUGACGGCCUUCGGGUUGUAAAGCUCUGUUAAUCGGGACGAAAGGCCUUCUUGCGAAUAGUUAGAAGGAUGACGGUACC
rnacentral:rRNA from 1 species